GAUGAAGAAAGUAGCGAAAUGCGAUACUUCGUGUGAAUUGCAGAAUCCCGUGAACCAUCGAGUCUUUGAACGCAAGUUGCGCCCGAAGCCAUCAGGUUGAGGGCACGUCUGCCUUGGCGUCACAUAUCGUUGCCCAAUGCCUAUUGCAGUGCAAUAGGAAUUUCUAGGGCGAAUGAUGGCUUCCCGUGAGCGUUGUUGCCUCGCGGUUGGUUGAAAAUCGAGUCCUUGGUAGGGUGUGCCAUGGUAGAUGGUGGUCGAGUUAGAACGAUACCGAUCAUGUGCAUGCUCCCCAAAAUAUGGCCUCUAUGACCCACACGCGUCUUUUGACGCUCAUGACGAGACCUCAGGUCAGGCGGGGCUACCCGCUGAAUUUAAGCAUAUCAAUAAGCGGAGGA
rnacentral:misc_RNA from 1 species